rnacentral:rRNA from 1 species
UUCCGGUUGAUCCUGCCGGAGGUCANUGCUAUUGGGGUCNGACUAAGCCAUGCGAGUCAAUAGUUCUUCGUGAACUANGCGGACGGCUCAGUAACACGUGGGUAAUCUACCCUCAGGACAGGGAUAACCCCGGGAAACUGGGGAUAAUACCUGAUAGGUGGAGAGGUCUGGAAUGAUCCUCCGCCCAAAGCUCCGGCGCCUGAGGAUGAGCCUGCGGCCGAUUAGGUUGUUGGCGGUGUAACGGACCACCAAGCCUGAGAUCGGUACGGGCACUGAGAGGUGGAGCCCGGAGAUGGGGACUGAGAAACGGCCCCAGGCCCUACGGGGCGCAGCAGGCGCGAAAACUCCGCAAUACGCGAAAGCGUGACGGGGGGACCCCAAGUGUCAUGCCUUCGGGUAUGACUUUUGCAGAGUGUAAACAGCUCUGCGAAUAAGAGCUGGGUAAGGCCGGUGCCAGCCGCCGCGGUAACACCGGCAGCUCAAGUGGUGGCCACUAUUAUUGGGCCUAAAGCGUCCGUAGCCUGCUCGGUAAGUCCUUGGGAAAAUCCGCUCGUUCCACGAACGGGACCNCUAGGANUACUGCCGAACUUGGGAACGAGAGAAGUCGGAAGUACUCCUGGGGUAGCGGUGAAAUGCUGUAAUCCUGGGGGGACUACCAGUGGCGAAGG